GCCAGGCCCGUGGGGACUAUGUCAGUGCCAGGCCGCGGGGGUCGUGCUAGGGCAAGUCCCGCGAGGGGCGUGGCCAGGCCUGAGAAUGUGCAAAGGCAGGCUCUGGCCCGCCCCUUCAGGAGGCUUGCUACUCAUGCUCUGAGUGCUUUGCUGCGUAGGCCUUGUGGUGAAGUUGAGCCAGACGAGCCUGAGGCAGGCGCUGGAUGGAGGCAGAGGCGCGAGUGGAGAAGUUUUCCUAAGCGCUAUGACUGGACUGGGAAGAACUGGGUUUACUCGCACGAUGGUGUGUCACUGCAUGAGCUGCUGGCCAGGGAGCUGACUGAAGCCUUAAACACCAAAUUGGACUUGUCUUACUUGGCCUGUUCCGGAAACGGCACUUGACGGCCUGACCAAUUCAAAGACAUUAAAGCUGUCAGGCCAAGACCCCA